GUAGAUAGAGGUCGCGAGCCUCAUCAGUCACCAGCCUGAGUUUUCAGCAAACGCCGACAGCUGGUAAAAGGGAUGCUCGCCGAAGUGGACCGCAGGCUGAGGGCGUUCUGCUGGGCAUGUACUGAACAAGUGCAUGACUGUCAUCUUUGCAGAUGGGGAGCUAUCA
rnacentral:ncRNA from 1 species